rnacentral:lncRNA from 1 species
AUGAGUUUGUGUGUUGUGUGUUGUUGUGUGUGUCUGUGUGUGUGCGCGCGACUCUCUUUGCCGCUUCAGCCUCGUGGAACUUUUGCCGCGGCUGCGCGUACGCUCGUGUCACACAUCUAGCUGAGCCAGUACCACGGUCUUCACGCCAGUGAUCUAUUGGCACGCACUGCAGUACGGGAAAGAAGUGCGGCGCGGCGGUGAUCAUCCAUAGCUUACAGGACGCGGGGGAUUUCUUGUUGAACGCAGGCCGCGAGGAAGCCGGCACGUGCGUCGGUAGACAGCCACUCACCCAGCCGCGAGAGUGCGCUCACAGUCAUCGGUUUGUCGCGAGGAAGGAUUACAUAAUUUGUGUUGUUUGUGCGCACAGACGGGCGAGAGAAAGUUUGGAGAAUUGCGACCGAGAACGGGGAGAAGUAAAUCGUCCACAUCCGGCAGCAGGAGAGUGCGGAGACGACGGGACAGCGCGCGGAUCCGUGAGUCGAUGCCUGGAGGCUGAGCGAAGUGCUCCGUGGCCGGUUUAGAGCUUCCACACACACUCAGAUGUCUGGGCGGUUCAGAUAGAAGCGACCACAGCGACCCUCUCGUCCACUCACCCUCACCCCGUGCCCCGGGCCGAGGGGAAUAAACACUGAUCAGCAGUGCAUUACGCGGGCCGGGCUGGCUUCAUGAGUCUAACCACAAUGGACGGACACCAGUACUCACCGCAGGACCAGUGGUCACCGUACGGCAACAGCCCCGGCUACCCUAGCAGUUACGGCUCGACAGGCGAUCCCAUGCCUACGAGUGAAUGGUUUCCAUUUGCGCGAAAAUUGCGCUUUAUUGGAGCCAAUUACACACGCUUACGCUUGGAUAGUGAAUGAAGAACUCUGAACGCCAACUCGGCGCCACUAGAAUUAAUUCAGAC